rnacentral:rRNA from 1 species
GACGAACGCUGGCGGCGUGCUUAACACAUGCAAUUCGAACGGAAAGGCCCUGCUUUUGUGGGGUGCUCGAGUGGCGAACGGUUGAGUAACACGUGAGUAACCUGCCCUUGACUUUGGGAUAACUUCAGGAAACUGGGGCUAAUACCGGAUAGUAGCUCCUGCUGCAUGGUGGGGGUUGGAAAGUUUCGGCGGUUGGGGAUGGACUCGCGGCUUAUCAGCUUGUUGGUGGGGUAGUGGCUUACCAAGGCUUUGACGGGUAGCCGGCCUGAGAGGGUGACCGGCCACAUUGGGACUGAGAUACGGCCCAGACUCCUACGGGAGGCAGCAGUGGGGAAUAUUGCACAAUGGGCGGAAGCCUGAUGCAGCAACGCCGCGUGCGGGAUGACGGCCUUCGGGUUGUAAACCGCUUUCGCCUGUGACGAAGCGUGAGUGACGGUAAUGGGUAAAGAAGCACCGGCUAAAUACGUG